GCAGUUAUAGCUUAAUUAAGCGAAAGUUUUGUAAACUUCUGAUCAUGUGAAUUACAUGUUUCUGCU
rnacentral:tRNA from 1 species